UACGUAGGGUGCAAGCGUUAAUCGGAAUUACUGGGCGUAAAGCGCGCGUAGGUGGUUUGUUAAGUUGGAUGUGAAAUCCCCGGGCUCAACCUGGGAACUGCCAUCCAAAACCGGCAAGCUAGAGUAUGGUAGAGGGUGGUGGAAUUUCCUGUGUAGCGGUGAAAUGCGUAGAUAUAGGAAGGAACACCAGUGGCGAAGGCGACCACCUGGACUGAUACUGACACUGAGGUGCGAAAGCGUGGGGAGCAAACA
rnacentral:rRNA from 1 species